AAAGCAUGCUUCCAAAGUUGGUUGUGAAGGGCAUACCAACUGUUGAGCGUGCUGUCAUUAACAAUGAUAAAGGAAGACACCACCUGUUGGUUGAAGGGACAAAUCUUUUAGCAGUUAUGGGUAUUCCAGGAGUUUGUUCAAAGGAAACAAAGAGUAAUCAUGUCA